rfam:Canis lupus familiaris chromosome 1, whole genome shotgun sequence.
UAGGGGAGUCAGGGUUCGGCACCCCUCCCCGAGCCCAGGGUAACUCUUAAAGUGGAGGGGCA